CAGCACCAUUUCCAGCAUGUUGAAACAGCAUCAACAGCUUUAACAUAGAACCUCCUGUAGAAGUGAAGUGAGAGAGGGAGCCAGGAUCAGGAACUUGAGGACCAUGCCACCAGGGGAUCAGGAACCACUCGUUGACUGGAACAGGUGCUGUCUUAAAUCAGGAUGCUGCACUAUCUGCCUACACACCAAAAUGUUGACACCUCGAUGGAUUGGUUCAAUAU